rnacentral:rRNA from 1 species
GCGACGGGUGAGUACACGUGGGCAAUCUGCCCUUCACUCUGGGACAAGCCCUGGAAACGGGGUCUAAUACCGGAUAAUACUUCCACUCUCCUGAGUGGUGGUUGAAAGCUCCGGCGGUGAAGGAUGAGCCCGCGGCCUAUCAGCUUGUUGGUGAGGUAAUGGCUCACCAAGGCGACGACGGGUAGCCGGCCUGAGAGGGCGACCGGCCACACUGGGACUGAGACACGGCCCAGACUCCUACGGGAGGCAGCAGUGGGGAAUAUUGCACAAUGGGCGAAAGCCUGAUGCAGCGACGCCGCGUGAGGGAUGACGGCCUUCGGGUUGUAAACCUCUUUCAGCAGGGAAGAAGCGAAAGUGACGGUACCUGCAGAAGAAGCGCCGGCUAACUACGUGCCAGCACCGGGGGUAAAUACG